UAUAUAUAUAUAAAAGUAACAAAACUAUUUUAUAAUCUUUAACUAUUAAUAUUAUAAUUCAUGUGAAUAUAUCUAAAAUAGGGAGAGAAGAAGAUAAUGUAAACAAUAUCCGUUGCUGUCUUGUUUCAUUUCAUUAUCAUUAUUUUAGAGUGCUAAUAUCUAACUAAAAAGUUCUUGAAAUUAUAAAAAGAAAAUAAAAAUCAAUUUAUUGGGUGACAAGAAAAUAACUAAAUGACAGUUUAUGGAAUAUUGUAGCAGAGUAUUUGUGUAUUAUCUUGGGUCUAACACUAAAUGAAAAUUCAUGGCACAAAGUAUUUUCUCCACCCUAUCGGAAGGCAUUUACACAUUCGACGCACACACCUCGGUUCCAUACCGGGGGGGCACAUAUGUGGUGGACAAUGAGAAUCAGUAACACAUAGAUAACCCCCUGAAAUAUAGAAAGAGAAUAAAAAGUGUAACUAAAAUGGAAUAUUAUAUUAUGUGCGAAGUAGAGAAGAAAAAUUUAAAUGGUUAGAAAUGACUUACGUGCAGCCUUCGUUGCAACCAGAAAUAGGAAAAGAAAGACAAUCAUACUAUAAACAAAAUUGACAAUUUUAGCCAUAUUUCCCUCUCUCUUUUGUAAUAUAUGUGUGUAUCACUUUUUAAUUUAUGACGCUCGUCUUCUUUUUAGCAUUAUAAAUAUUAAAAAAAUAUUCAUGUGUUAUGUUUGUCUCUUCUGCAUG
rnacentral:lncRNA from 1 species